rnacentral:rRNA from 1 species
GACGAACGCUGGCGGCGUGCCUAAUACAUGCAAGUCGAGCGAAGUUUUUCUGGUGCUUGCACCGGAAAAACUUAGCGGCGAACGGGUGAGUAACACGUAAAGAACCUGCCUCAUAGACUGGGACAACUAUUGGAAACGAUAGCUAAUACCGGAUAACAGCAUUAACUGCAUGGUUGAUGUUUAAAAGUUGGUUUUGCUAACACUAUGAGAUGGCUUUGCGGUGCAUUAGCUAGUUGGUGGGGUAAAGGCCUACCAAGGCGACGAUGCAUAGCCGACCUGAGAGGGUGAUCGGCCACACUGGAACUGAGACACGGCCCAGACUCCUACGGGAGGCAGCAGUAGGGAAUCUUCCGCAAUGGGCGAAAGCCUGACGGAGCAACGCCGCGUGAGUGAAGAAGGAUUUCGGUUCGUAAAGCUCUGUUGUUAGGGAAGAAUGAUUGUGUAGUAACUAUACACAGUAGAGACG